CCUACGGGAGGCAGCAGUGGGGAAUAUUGCACAAUGGGCGAAAGCCUGAUGCAGCGACGCCGCGUGAGCGAUGAAGUAUUUCGGUAUGUAAAGCUCUAUCAGCAGGGAAGAUAAUGACGGUACCUGAGUAAGAAGCCCCGGCUAACUACGUGCCAGCAGCCGCGGUAAU
rnacentral:rRNA from 1 species